AGGAAUUGCUCACUCGAGGAGCUCGGCUCUUGAGACAGGAGUCUUGCUGAUGCCCCCGGCCGAAUAAACCCCUUCCUUCUUUAACUCGGUGUCUGAGGAGUUUUGUCUGUGGCUUGUCCUGCUACAUUUCUUGGUUCCCUGACCGGGAAGCGAGGUGAUUGGUGGAUGGUCGAGGCAGCUCCUUAGGCGGCUGAAGUCUGCCCUGUGGAACAUCCCUGCGGGGGACUCCGGCCAGCCUGAGCGACGCGGAUCCUGAGAGCACUCCCAGAUAGGCAUUUGCCCCGGUGGACGCCUCGCCAGAGCAGUGUGUGGCAGGCCCCCGUGGAGGAUCAACGCAGUGGCUAACACCAGGAAGGAAUGGGCACUUGGAGUCUGGACAUCUAAAACUUGGCACAGGUAUCUCACACUCGGUCAAUCAUCAGACUCGCCUGAGGUUUCAAAUCACCCUUGAGCACAGGUUCAUCCCCAUCCGAUGACAUCCAAAUCCCUGGCGGUGACUCCCAGUCAGCAGCAUGUCCUCAGAGCAUCCCAGGAACUUCCAACAAGCAAUCAGAGAACUGCCGAGAACAUCAAUUGAGACAGAAGCGCUUCAGGUGUGGCCCCUGGACCAGCAGCAUCCACCUCACCUGGGAACAUGUUGGAAAUGCAAGUUCUCCCCCUCCCCAGAUCUCCUAAAUCAGAUCCUCAGGGGCGAGGCCAGCACGCUGUGUUUGAACAAACCCUCGCACUGAUUCAGACGCAUGCUCUGCCACAGGCACAAGGUGACAGGUGUCAAGGGAACACAGAAAGACAGAGAGACGAAGGGGAGCUACUGGCAGUACCAACAGCCAAGACCUGGGGCCCUCUCCUCCUGCCUCCAGGAGGCCUGAUUUUCCCUUCCCUGCCUCCCUGCAGAAGUUCAAGGCUGUUCUUUAUGAAAGAACUUACAGGUGGCCUCAGGCCCCCUGUUGAAGGUCAUGGUAUCUUCCCUCUUGUCCUUUCCCAGUCCAGGAGCACUCGGCCGUGACCCCCGAGAGAUCCAUGCCCUGUCAUGCGCCUGCCUCUCAGCCUCUCCCCAGGCUAACUGCUGCAGUGCCAAGGAGGGCCCUGCCCUUUGCCUCUGUGCCCCCAUUGCCAGGGUUUCCUGUUCAGCUGUGAAGGGCUCCCUCGAUUGCUCCAGAGUCUGGAAUUUGGGAACACUUCAAGCAGAAAGUUUAUAAUUCACCUCCCAAUUCUUUCAGCCCUGUGAACUGCCUACUGCUUGAAAAACAAAAAACAUCAAGUGACUGCUGAUUAUGGACUAGAACAGAAAUCAUGCAAAUAUUCUUACUUUGGCUAAGUUAAAAUAGAUUCCAAGGCACAGGCUUUGGCAUGGCAGAAGCCAGGGCCCUCCAUCCAGAUUGGCUGUACCAGGUGACUUCCCUGAGCCCGCAGUUUUCUCACUGAAAAUAAUAAUAAUUGCUAUUACUGUUAUCAGCAUAAUAGCAGAAUUUGUAAGCCCUUUGUCCUUCCAGCCUCUCUCAGAGGUAGGGUGGGGCAGCAGUUCUCUCACUGCUCAUUAGAAUCCCCUGGGGAGGUUUUAAAAUGCAGAUUCCCAGGCUACACUGGGACCAAGAGAGCCCCAGGAUGGCCCAGCCGUCUGCAUUUCUUCAAGCCCUCCUCUGUCCUUGGGUGGGACUAUUGCCCACUGGCCUGUGUUUUCGUUCCUUGGAAAUGGCCCCUCAGUUUUUUUUAUGGGGACCCUACCCACUUCCCUCAGACACACGCACCUCAGGGUGUGACACAGGCCAGGUGGUCAGAGUCAACUCCAGGGGCUUGCAGGCCUUGGCCCUCACACUUGGGUUACAUAAACCACUGCAAAGAACUUAACCGAAGCCAACAUAUGGCAAAUUUUAAAACUAUUAACUUCAUUUAAGGAAAAUAAACAACAACAAUAGAGCCAGGUUGUCAUGAAUUGGAAGCAGAUGCGUGGGGCUCUUUGUAGACUGCCUGCUCCCAACAAGAUCAUCCCUCUUCCCUCCCCAUUCCCCUUCCCUGGUGCAAGCAGAGCUGCAUCCUUAAGGAGGCUGGGCUCAGCCUGCCAGAGGUGGAGAGCCUCUGGACUCAGGAACCUCCGCCUGCCUCAAUUUCCUCGUAAUCACAGAACAUCUGCUGCAUGGAGCCUGCCCUGCAUCCCUGGGGCCUGGCAGGGCCGUUAGUUACCAUCUCAUCUGGCAAUGUCACAAACAUCCUCAUUCUCACUGUUGCAGCUGGUGUGAAGGGCUUGGGGACCUGGUGAGGGCUGGGCUGGCACCCAGGCCCCCUCCUGCCCCUGCAGCCCCAGCCGCUUGGGUCUGAAGCUGCAACUCUGAGUGGUGACAUUUUGGCACCAGCCAGGGCCAAGAGCAGACACUUUGGUGACAGAGGAAAGGUUACGGCUCUGAUGUUGGCUUUUUGAAUUUUCUUUCUGGGCUCUCUUAGCUCUUGUCUGGUUUCUGGCUUUGGCGAUUGGUUCUUCAUGAGGUCUCUGGAGAUGGCUUCUCUUCCUUCCCAUGUGGCCUGUAAAAUAGGCCUGGGCAGCCUCUUCAUCCCAGCCCCUUCCCCUCCUUUCUCUUGAUGUUGCCAGUCCUUACCCCCCAGGAGAUGAGGCCUGCAGGUUGUGCGGGGUGGGCAGCCCCCGUGGUUGUGCAGCCUGCUGUGCUCAGACAGCCCAUGCUUAGUUUAAUGCUCUGCUGUCCUGUCUUCAAAAUCUUCAUACUUUGGGAGGAAGGGGGCAGGCAUUUUCACGUGGCCCCGGGCGUGCAAAUUCUGCAGCUGCCCUGAGAGAUGAAUCCAUAAGCGAGGAUAGAACGGGGGCGGCCCUAUUGACUGAGGAGGAAGAUUUCUUCUCCUCCCCUGGAGGGCAGAGGUCAGGGUGCACCACAGCCUGAUGAAGCCAUGCGAAGAUGACCAGGACUGCUUGGAGUAGGGUGUCAGCCUCGGGUCCCCAAAACCCACUCCCGCCCCCUCCGAGGACUGACUAGUCAGGAGCGCAGGGGCUCGGAUGGCCUUCAUGGGGAAGACAGGUCAAAUCCUCCUUCUUUCUCUUCAUUGAUCACUUUUCAAAAUCAUAAGUUGGUUCCCUGACAUCCUCCAGCAGUGACCGAUAGUGUCACUAUGAACUCCUAAAUGUAAACAUAUUGGAUGAGUUUUGAUCUAUUUCGGUGAAUCCAUGGCAACGUAUAGACCUAUUAUAUAUCCUCUUUCAAACAUAUAGAUAAAAUAACAAUUCAAAACUUAAAUACUGAUUGGAUAUUUCAUGAUAUUAAUAAUUUUUAAUAUUUUAGCUGUUAAUAGUAACAUGUGUGACCACCCUUAUUUGGCAGAUUUCUUAUUUUUUAGUGCCAUGUAUUGGAAUAUUUAUGGGUUAAAUAAAAACAAAAAACAAAACUGCAACACAUCUCCUGGGACCCCAGCCUCGGCCUCGGGAACCGGGUAUUCUUGUGAGAUGUUGGCCUUGGCACAGGGAGGCUGUAAGGUCCCUUCCUUGAAAC
rnacentral:lncRNA from 1 species